rfam:Aspergillus oryzae RIB40 DNA, chromosome 8.
GGUCCCAUAACUCAGUUGGUUAGAGUGCUGAGCUAAUAACUCAGAAGUCGAGAGUUCGAGCCUCCCUGGGACCA